CCGACAAGUAUGCUUGUCUCAAAUCCUUUCUACACAUUUUCUUAAUAAUAAGAUUAGAUAGCUCUGUUUGAAAUUAUGACAAAAAUGUUUCUUAGUUCUAGAUUGCAUGAAAUAAUGUGCGGUGCCGUUCCAAAACAUCUAGGUGCGUUGUGCGAAACAUUAAUUAUAGUCUAUUAAACGUGAAAAAAAAACUUGAAAAAGUAACUUUUUUUGGUGGAUUAAUUACAUUUAUCAAAUACUAAGAUGGUUUGAAUGCCAUUUCUAUGUAUUUUGUAUUUUUGCUGGCCCACAAGUACUUCAAUUUCUUGAUUGACACGCCAGUACUCUAAAGCUGAGUGAUGGUGAAUUUGCACCAACCGAGAACCAACGCCUACAAAGGAUAUCCGCUAGUUCUAUGAAAAUAACGACAAGUUAAUCCACAACACUUAUCAGUAGCUCCAAUGUCGAGAUGGCGUACACGUAGCAUCGUGUGUGAUAUUAAAAACCACAUUGAAUCUCUAUCUCAUAAAAGCCGAGCAAACUGAAGCCACGAGAACUGCAACUCAACCGAAACAUCACUGAUCCAAAUGCACCACAUCGGCGGCGGUGAUCCGACAAUGCACUAAAUCCGGUAUUCUGUCCAACUCCUAUCAGGCUCUUCGAGAAGACCAGAUUCAGCGGGAUUGUCCCGUCCGCCAAGUGGACAUCGCUUGGUGCCAGACUGGACUGCAAUGACAUUGACAGUGUGUAUAGUGCUGUAUGGAUACGCCUUCACUCUUGGAAGCAGUACAAUGAAUUUUCUCCGCAUGUGUUGCAGAGGGAGUUUUUAAACUGCUUUUCUAAAAAAAUCAAUUGAUGCAAUUGAAGCCAAAAAGCUUACCCAUAUGUGAUUGGCUGAUUUUUUUUUCUUCAAUUCACCCGGGUGCCCCGGUAGUUCCGUUUUGUUAUGUAAGAAACCGAUAGCGUAACAUUCUUUAUUUUGACUGACACAUAGGAGUGAGCCUGUAAAAUGUACUUCGAUUUGGCAACUUGAAUGCACUUUUUUGGUUAUUUUUCUUAAUGUUGAUCAGCUGAUUGGUUCUGUCUUUCACAGCAAGUAAAAGCACUUCGAUUUUACUGCAAACAAGCUCGUGAAUUAUGGCUCGUAGAAUAGUGUCACAAAAAACUUUGGACAGAAAGUCUACGCAUCGUUGUUCGUGUGCCUGUUUUUCCGGUAACAGCUUGGUUCUCCAUG